AUUGAACACUGGCGGCAUGCCUAACACAUGCAAGUCGAACGGCAGCACGGCGGUAGCAAUACUGUGGGUGGCGAGUGGCGGACGGGUGAGGAAUACGUCGGAAUCUGCCCAGUCGUGGGGGAUAACUAGCCGAAAGGUUAGCUAAUACCGCAUACGACCGAGAGGUGAAAGCGGGGGACCGCAAGGCCUCGCGCGAUUGGAUGAGCCGACGUCGGAUUAGCUAGUUGGUGGGGUAAAGGCCCACCAAGGCGACGAUCCGUAGCUGGUCUGAGAGGAUGAUCAGCCACACUGGAACUGAGACACGGUCCAGACUCCUACGGGAGGCAGCAGUGGGGAAUAUUGGACAAUGGGCGCAAGCCUGAUCCAGCAAUGCCGCGUGUGUGAAGAAGGCCUC
rnacentral:rRNA from 1 species